rnacentral:lncRNA from 1 species
GUUGGGAUGUGGCCUCUAUACUUGAUUCUUCUUUUGCUGACUUCCAUGUUCCUUGUCGGCAUAGGGUUUUCUGAGUCUGGCUCAAAGACUUCCACAUUAAAUGUUUCCCAGGUCAUGAAGAAAGAUCCUCAUGAGAAUUCAUUGCCUGAGGGUUUUCUUCUAAACUCUUUCACAAUUUAAUGACUGGGCAGCUUUGAUGCUUUUAAAACUGUGAAUUCUUGUUACCGCUGCCAAAAAGGGAACUCUUGUUCUCCAACUUCUAUUGGAGCGCUGCAUGAUUCCUGUAAGAUGAGAAGCAGGCAGACAUUUCUGGCUUUUUCCUUGUAAUCUAACCUUGGUUUCAUUUUAUAUGCACAGCAUUCUCAUUGUGGAGCUCUUUCAUUGGGCUGUUGCUGGAUGGGAGUGCCUCUUUCCACAGAUUAUUUAGCUGCCAGGGAUUUCAGAGAGCCAAAAAGAGUUAAGAUAGGCUGGCUGUGCUCCAGGUUGUGUGUCGUUGUCUCAUUGUGGAUGCUGAGGAUGUUAGCACUCUGAAGGAAGCUUUUGUGUCAUCUGACAGGAAUCAUUGAACACUGACUGGACUCCAGCACAAUGCAGCUCGUUUUCACUGUCUGAAUUUCGUCUGCACCCAUGAAAAGCAAGUCAGAGGUGUGAGAAGACUGCUUCACCUUGGACUUGCCUUUGUUGUGUUUUGUGUUUUUUCUAGAGAGCCACUGCAAGGCCCAGGAUGAAGAGAGACAGUGAGAAGAUCCCAACCAUUUAUCACUGACACCGGCAUCUGUGGUCUCAGAAUGAAAUCCCAAAAUGAUGCAGGAGUGCCCCCUCGUGACUUGAAGCACCUGCUCAGCUGGAAACUGAAUUUCAGAUCCUUCCAGCGGUCCCUGCAGUCGGGUCCAGUGGAGAAGGAGGCAUUUCAGGACUGUGAAGUGAUUGCUGGAAACCGCUCUUCUAACUCCAUUCCAGAAAGAGUCUGUGUGCAAGAAUCUGGCCCCAUGGGGAUUGGAAUAUAAUCUGGUGAAGUUGAGGGACCCCAUCUAUUUCUCACCAGAUUGUAUCCUCACCUCUAUCUGAUCUUGUUGCUGUUCACAUUUUAUGUCCCAAGAUAAAGUCCCAAUAUGAUGGAAGAGGCCUUCCUCAUGACUUGAAGCACCUACUCAUCUGGGGAAAAUUUAGGUGAAUUCAAGUGGCCCUGUGGACAGGACUAGUAGUGUCUCUCCCUGGGUUGGUCAUAUGACAAUAAAAUCCUAAGAAAGGUU